rnacentral:rRNA from 1 species
GACGAACGCUGGCGGCGUGCUUAACACAUGCAAGUCGAACGGAAAGGCUCCAGCUUGCUGGAGUACUCGAGUGGCGAACGGGUGAGUAACACGUGGGUAAUCUGCCCUGCACUCUGGGAUAAGCCUGGGAAACUGGGUCUAAUACUGGAUAUGACCUUUCUCCUUAUGGGGUUUGGUGGAAAGUUUUUCGGUGUAGGAUGAGCCCGCGGCCUAUCAGCUUGUUGGUGGGGUGAUGGCCUACCAAGGCGACGACGGGUAGCCGGCCUGAGAGGGUGAUCGGCCACAUUGGGACUGAGAUACGGCCCAGACUCCUACGGGAGGCAGCAGUGGGGAAUAUUGCACAAUGGGCGGAAGCCUGAUGCAGCGACGCCGCGUGAGGGAUGACGGCCUUCGGGUUGUAAACCUCUUUCAGCAGGGACGAAGCGUAAGUGACGGUACCCGCAGAAGAAGCACCGGCUAACUAUGUG